GACGAACGCUGGCGGCGUGCUUAACACAUGCAAGUCGAACGGAAAGGCCCUGCUUUUGUGGGGUGCUCGAGUGGCGAACGGGUGAGUAACACGUGAGUAACCUGCCCUUGACUUUGGGAUAACUUCAGGAAACUGGGGCUAAUACCGGAUAGGAGCUCCUGCUGCAUGGUGGGGGUUGGAAAGUUUCGGCGGUUGGGGAUGGACUCGCGGCUUAUCAGCUUGUGGGUGGGGUAGUGGCUUACCAAGGCUUUGACGGGUAGCCGGCCUGAGAGGGUGACCGGCCACAUUGGGACUGAGAUACGGCCCAGACUCCUACGGGAGGCAGCAGUGGGGAAUAUUGCACAAUGGGCGGAAGCCUGAUGCAGCAACGCCGCGUGCGGGAUGACGGCCUUCGGGUUGUAAACCGCUUUCGCCUGUGACGAUGCGUGAGUGACGGUAAUGGGUAAAGAAGCACCGGCUAACUACGUG
rnacentral:rRNA from 1 species